AGAGUUUGAUCAUGGCUCAGAACGAACGCUGGCGGCAUGGAUUAGGCAUGCAAGUCGAACGAGGUAGCAAUACCGAGUGGCGGAAGGGUGAGGAACACGUGAGUAACUUGCCUCCAAGUUGGGAAUAACAGUUGGAAACGACUGCUAAUACCGAAUGUGGCUUUAUUUUUGCAUGAGAAUAUGGCUAAAGAUUUUAUCGCUUGGAGAUAGGCUCGCGUCCCAUUAGCUAGUUGGUGAGGUAACGGCUCACCAAGGCGACGAUGGGUAGCUGGUCUGAGAGGAUGGUCAGCCACACUGGGACUGAGACACUGCCCAGACUCCUACGGGAGGCUGCAGUCGAGAAUCUUGGGCAAUGCGCGAAAGCGUGACCCAGCAAUGCCGCGUGCAGGAUGAAGGUCUUCGGAUUGUAAACUGCUGUCAUCCGGGACGAAAAAAUGACGGUACCGGAGAAGGAAGCCACGGCAAACUACGUGCCAGCAGCCGCGGUAAUACGUAGGGGCGAGCGUUGUUCGGAUUUAUUGGGCGUAAAGGUCCUGUAGGAGGUUUAUUAAAAAUUGGGGGUGAAAUCCCGGAGCUCAACUCCGGAACUGCCUUGAUGACUGAUGAACUAGAGUACUGGAGAGGUAAAUGGAAUUCCAGGUGUAGCGGUGGAAUGCGUAGAUAUCUG
rnacentral:rRNA from 1 species